rnacentral:tRNA from 1 species
GCGGGUGUGGUGAAAUUGGUAGACACGCUAGAUUUAGGUUCUAGUGCCUCAGGCGUGGGGGUUCAAGUCCCUCCACCCGCACCA